UACGGAGGAUGCAAGCGUUAUCCGGAAUCACUGGGCGUAAAGCGUCUGUAGGUGGUUUAUCAAGUCUGCUGUUAAAGCUUGAGGCUUAACCUCAAAAAAGCAGUGGAAACUGAUAGACUAGAGAAUGGUAGGGGCAGAGAGAAUUCUCAGUGUAGCGGUGAAAUGCGUAGAUAUUGAGAAGAAUGCCGAUAGCGAAGGCGCUCUGCUGGGCCAUUACUGACACUCAGAGACGAAAGCUAGGGGAGCAAAUGGG
rnacentral:rRNA from 1 species